UGGGGGAUAUUGCACAAUGGGCGCAAGCCUGAUGCAGCGACGCCGCGUGAGGGAUGACGGCUUUCGGGUUGUAAACCUCUUUUACUAUUGAACAAGGCGCCAUAUUGGUGGUGUUGAGGGUAGGUGGUGAAUAAGCGCCGGCUAACUACGUGCCAGCAGCCGCGGUAAUACGUAGGGCGCGAGCGUUGUCCGGAAUUAUUGGGCGUAAAGAGCUCGUAGGCGGCUUGUCGCGUCUGCUGUGAAAUCCUGGGGCUUAACUCUGGGCGUGCAGUGGGUACGGGCAGGCUAGAGUGCGGUAGGGGUGAUUGGAAUUCCUGGUGUAGCGGUGGAAUGCGCAGAUAUCAGGAGGAACACCGAUGGCGAAGGCAGGUCACUGGGCCGUUACUGACGCUGAGGAGCG
rnacentral:rRNA from 1 species